rnacentral:misc_RNA from 1 species
GAUACUCAAAUUGAAGUUGAAUGAGUUUUAAAUAAAAAAAUUAAAGUUGAGUAACUUUUAUGAUAUAACUUAUAAAAUUGAGUGAUCUUGAGUAACAAGGGUUUGGCAUCAAGGUUGGAUGGUUAGAAAAUUGCUUUUUCAAGAAGUACCCUUUUAGGUGGUGUUGAAAAUUAGUUUGAAAAUUAAUUAUUUUAAAAUUAUUUGUUUUAUAAUUGUUAUGACUAAAAUAUGUCAUAUGUAAU